rnacentral:rRNA from 1 species
AACGAACGCUGGCGGCAUGCCUAACACAUGCAAGUCGAACGAGACCUUCGGGUCUAGUGGCGCACGGGUGCGUAACGCGUGGGAACCUGCCUUUAGGUUCGGAAUAACUCAGAGAAAUUUGUGCUAAUACCGGAUGAUGUCUUCGGACCAAAGAUUUAUCGCCUUUAGAUGGGCCCGCGUUGGAUUAGCUAGUUGGUGGGGUAAAGGCCUACCAAGGCGACGAUCCAUAGCUGGUCUGAGAGGAUGAUCAGCCACACUGGGACUGAGACACGGCCCAGACUCCUACGGAAGGCAGAAGUGGGGAAUAUGGGACAAGGGGCGAAGGCCGGAUCCAGCAAUGCCGGGUGAGUGAUGAAGGCCUUAGGUUUGUAAGGCUCUUUUACCCGGGAUGAAAUGACAGUAUCGGGAGAAUAAGCUCCGGCUAACUCCGUG